GAAUCGCUAGUAAUCGUGGAUCAGAAUGGCACGGUGAAUACGUUCCCGGGCCUUGUCACACCGCCCGUCACACCAUGGGAGUGGACUGCACCAGAAGUGGUUAGCCUAACUUCGGAGGGCGAUCACCACGGUGUGGUUCAUGACUGGGGUGAAGUCGUAACAAGGUAGCCGUAGGGGAACCUGCGGCUGGAUCACCUCCUUA
rnacentral:rRNA from 5 species